CCGCCUUGGAGCUUUUUCUUGCACUGAGCAGCCUCACCUCGCCUGGCCCUUCCCCUGACCACGCCCUCACCCCGGCAGGUACUGCAACGCCUUCAUCUUCCAUUUGGUCUACAAGCCACCCCAAGGCGGCACAGUUCGCUCAGCUCCCGGCCCUGCACCUCGACCCCCAACUCCGGCUGCUCCUCCUGUCCCGGCUCGAAGGCGCCGAGGAGAAAAGAAAGCUGCACGCGGACCCCGCCGGCGCAGAUGAGAGCGGAGUUGGCAGCAGUCCAUUCCCAAGGAUGCUUCCUAAUGGAAAACAUUCCAAGGCCCGGGGAGGACUAAUUGUCGGGACACGAAAGGUUAAAUAAAAUCCCUUGUUUGAAAUCUCUGA
rnacentral:lncRNA from 1 species